UACGGAGGGUGCAAGCGUUAUCCGGAUUUACUGGGUUUAAAGGGUGCGUAGGUGGGUAAGUAAGUCAGUGGUGAAAUCUCCGGGCUUAACUCGGAAACUGCCAUUGAUACUAUUUGUCUUGAAUACUGUGGAGGUCAGCGGAAUAUGUCAUGUAGCGGUGAAAUGCUUAGAUAUGACAUAGAACACCAAUUGCGAAGGCAGCUGGCUACACAAAUAUUGACACUGAGGCACGAAAGCGUGGGGAUCAAACAGG
rnacentral:rRNA from 1 species